UGGGGAAUAUUGGACAAUGGGCGCAAGCCUGAUCCAGCCAUGCCGCGUGAGUGAUGACGGCCUUAGGGUUGUAAAGCUCUUUUCUCCGGGACGAUAAUGACGGUACCGGAGGAAUAAGCCCCGGCUAACUUCGUGCCAGCAGCCGCGGUAAUACGAAGGGGGCUAGCGUUGCUCGGAAUCACUGGGCGUAAAGGGCGCGUAGGCGGCGUUUUAAGUCGGGGGUGAAAGCCUGUGGCUCAACCACAGAAUGGCCUUCGAUACUGGGACGCUUGAGUCUGGUAGAGGUUGGUGGAACUGCGAGUGUAGAGGUGAAAUUCGUAGAUAUUCGCAAGAACACCGGUGGCGAAGGCGGCCAACUGGACCAGUACGGACGCUGAGGCGCGAAAGCGUGGGGAGCAAACAGG
rnacentral:rRNA from 1 species